GUUUAGCACAUUGGGUCCACCUCCAGGGCACAGGCUGUAGCUCAUUCUGACCACUGCUCCUCUCCUGGGAAUCACUUUUAAGGUUUUGGUUAUUUAUUUUUUUUUAAAAGUUUUUUUUUUGGGGGGGGCACCUUUACUUUCAAGUUUAAGCACCACAAAAGGGCCCCAAAGAAGGAUGUAAAGAACCCAGCGGCGGCAGCAGCAGCACCAGCACCUGCGCCAGCACCCGCACCAGCACCCGCACCAGCUAAACCCAAAGAACCCGCAAUCGAUCUCAAGAGCAUCAAGAUCGAGUUCUCCAAGGAGCAACAGGAUGACUUCAAGGAGGCCUUCCUCCUUUUUGACAGGACUGGUGAUGCCAAGAUCACCCUGAGCCAGGUUGGUGAUAUCAUCCGGGCGCUGGGGCAGAACCCAACAAAUGCCGAGAUCAACAAAAUCCUGGGCAACCCCAGCAAAGAGGAGAUGAAUGCCAAGAAAAUUACUUUUGAAGAGUUCCUGCCCAUGUUGCAAGCAGCCGCUAACAACAAGGAACAGGGUACCUAUGAAGACUUUGUUGAAGGUCUGCGUGUCUUUGACAAGGAAGGCAAUGGCACAGUCAUGGGAGCUGAACUCCGUCAUGUACUGGCUACUCUGGGUGAGAAGAUGACAGAAGAGGAAGUAGAUGAACUCAUGAAAGGUCAGGAAGACUCCAACGGCUGCAUCAACUACGAGGCAUUUGUAAAGCACAUCUUGUCUGUUUAAGUGGACUUCCCAGACACCAAAUGAACAAGUCAAGUUCAGAAAGACCAGACGGCACUCGAGAUUUGCCUGAAAUUCUUGCUCAGUCUGUCAUCAUCAACAUGGAAACUGCAUAGACCUGUAUGAUGUGCCUCCAACCCCACCAUUUUUACCAGCGCAUCCAGGGUAUCACCUCCAGGUCACUACACUUUCAUUUAAAAACCUGAACUUUCACCAAGGCAAGCUAGAUGGAAUAAACUGCUACCAUCCAGGAUCCAUCUAUCCCAACCAUCUCUUUCCAUGUUGUUUGCAUUGAAACAGUGUAAUUUCUUGGGAAAAUAAAGCAUCAAUAAAUCCCUGUGGUCA